rnacentral:rRNA from 1 species
AGUGAACGCUGGCGGUAGGCCUAACACAUGCAAGUCGAACGGCAGCACAGGAGAGCUUGCUCUCUGGGUGGCGAGUGGCGGACGGGUGAGGAAUACAUCGGAAUCUACUCUGUCGUGGGGGAUAACGUAGGGAAACUUACGCUAAUACCGCAUACGACCUACGGGUGAAAGCAGGGGACCUUCGGGCCUUGCGCGAUUGAAUGAGCCGAUGUCGGAUUAGCUAGUUGGCGGGGUAAAGGCCCACCAAGGCGACGAUCCGUAGCUGGUGUGAGAGGAUGAUCCGCCACACUGGAACUGAGACACGGUCCGGACUCCGACGGGAGGCAGCAGUGGGGAAUAUUGGACAAUGGGCGCAAGCCUGAUCCAGCCAUACCGCGUGGGUGAAGAAGGCCUUCGGGUUGUAAAGCCCUUUUGUUGGGAAAGAAAUCCAGCUGGCUAAUACCCGGUUGGGAUGACGGUACCCAAAGAAUAAGCACCGGCUAACUUCGUGCCAGCCGCCGCAGUAA